CCUACGGGAGGCAGCAGUGGGGAAUCUUGCGCAAUGGGCGAAAGCCUGACGCAGCCAUGCCGCGUGAAUGAUGAAGGUCUUAGGAUUGUAAAAUUCUUUCACCGGGGACGAUAAUGACGGUACCCGGAGAAGAAGCCCCGGCUAACUUCGUGCCAGCAGCCGCGGUAAUACGAAGGGGGCUAGCGUUGCUCGGAAUUACUGGGCGUAAAGGGAGCGUAGGCGGAUAGUUUAGUCAGAGGUGAAAGCCCAGGGCUCAACCUUGGAAUUGCCUUUGAUACUGGCUAUCUUGAGUACGGAAGAGGUAUGUGGAACUCCGAGUGUAGAGGUGAAAUUCGUAGAUAUUCGGAAGAACACCAGUGGCGAAGGCGACAUACUGGUCCGUUACUGACGCUGAGGCUCGAAAGCGUGGGGAGCAAACAGGAUUAGAUACCCUGGUAGUCCACGCUGUAAACGAUGAGUGCUAGUUGUCGGCAUGCAUGCAUGUCGGUGACGCAGCUAACGCAUUAAGCACUCCGCCUGGGGAGUACGGUCGCAAGNUUAAAACUCAAAUGAAUUGACGG
rnacentral:rRNA from 1 species